rnacentral:tRNA from 1 species
CCUGAUGGCUUAGUUGGUAAAGAAUCUGCCUGCAAAGCAGGAGACCCUGGUUCAAUUCCUGGGUCAGGA